rnacentral:rRNA from 1 species
UGGGGAAUUUUGCGACAUGGGGGCAACCCUGAAUCCAGCCAUUCCGCGUGCAGUGAAGAAGGCCUUCGGGUUGUAAAGCUCUUUUGUCCGGGAAGAAACGGUUUUGGUUAAUAACCAAGACUACUGACGGUACCGGAAGAAUAAGGACCGGCUACUACGUGC